GGGGGACGCAGUAGGAUAGGCGAAGCGUGCGAUUGGAUUGCACGUCUAAGCAGUAAGGCUGAGUAUUAGGCAAAUCCGGUACUCGUUAAGGCUGAGCUGUGAUGGGGAGAAGACAUUGUGUCUUCGAGUCGUUGAUUUCACACUGCCGAGAAAAGCCUCUAGAUAGAAAAUAGGUGCCCGUACCGCAAACCGACACAGGUAGUCAAGAUGAGAAUUCUAAGGUGAGCGAGCGAACUCUCGUUAAGGAACUCGGCAAAAUGACCCCGUAACUUCGGGAGAAGGGGUGCUCUUUAGGGUUAACGCCCAGAAGAGCCGCAGUGAAUAGGCCCAAGCGACUGUUUAUCAAAAACACAGGUCUCUGCUAAACCGUAAGGUGAUGUAUAGGGGCUGACGCCUGCCCGGUGCUGGAAGGUUAAGAGGAGUGGUUAGCUUCUGCGAAGCUACGAAUCGAAGCCCCAGUAAACGGCGGCCGUAACUAUAACGGUCCUAAGGUAGCGAAAUUCCUUGUCGGGUAAGUUCCGACCCGCACGAAAGGCGUAACGAUUUGGGCACUGUCUCAACGAGAGACUCGGUGAAAUCAUAGUACCUGUGAAGAUGCAGGUUACCCGCGACAGGACGGAAAGACCCCGUGGAGCUUUACUGUAGCCUGAUAUUGAAAUUCGGCACAGCUUGUACAGGAUAGGUAGGAGCCUUUGAAACGUGAGCGCUAGCUUACGUGGAGGCGCUGGUGGGAUACUACCCUAGCUGUGUUGGCUUUCUAACCCGCACCACUUAUCGUGGUGGGAGACAGUGUCAGGCGGGCAGUUUGACUGGGGCGGUCGCCUCCUAAAAGGUAACGGAGGCGCUCAAAGGUUCCCUCAGAAUGGUUGGAAAUCAUUCAUAGAGUGUAAAGGCAUAAGGGAGCUUGACUGCGAGACCUACAAGUCGAGCAGGGUCGAAAGACGGACUUAGUGAUCCGGUGGUUCCGCAUGGAAGGGCCAUCGCUCAACGGAUAAAAGCUACCCCGGGGAUAACAGGCUUAUCUCCCCCAAGAGUUCACAUCGACGGGGAGGUUUGGCACCUCGAUGUCGGCUCAUCGCAUCCUGGGGCUGUAGUCGGUCCCAAGGGUUGGGCUGUUCGCCCAUUAAAGCGGUACGCGAGCUGGGUUCAGAACGUCGUGAGACAGUUCGGUCCCUAUCCGUCGUGGGCGUAGGAAAUUUGAGAGGAGCUGUCCUUAGUACGAGAGGACCGGGAUGGACAUACCUCUGGUGUACCAGUUGUCGUGCCAACGGCAUAGCUGGGUAGCUAUGUGUGGACGGGAUAAGUGCUGAAAGCAUCUAAGCAUGAAGCCCCCCUCAA
rnacentral:rRNA from 1 species